rnacentral:rRNA from 1 species
AUUGAACGCUGGCGGCAUGCCUAACACAUGCAAGUCGAACGGCAGCACGGGAGCUUGCUCCUGGUGGCGAGUGGCGGACGGGUGAGUAAUGCAUAGGAAUCUGCCCAGUAGCGGGGGGACAACUUGGGGAAACUCAAGCUAAUACCGCAUGCGCCCUACGGGGGAAAGCGGGGGACCUUCGGGCCUCGCACUAUUGGAUGAGCCUAUGUCAGAUUAGCUUGUUGGUGGGGUAACGGCCUACCAAGGCGACGAUCUGUAGCUGGUCUGAGAGGACGAUCAGCCACACUGGGACUGAGACACGGCCCAGACUCCUACGGGAGGCAGCAGUGGGGGAAUAUUGCACAAUGGGCGAAAGCCUGAUGCAGCAAUGCCGCGUGUGUGAAGAAGGCCUGCGGGUUGUAAAGCACUUUCAGUAGGGAGGAAACAGUAGCCGGUUAAUAUCCGGUUGCCUUGACGUUACCUACA